rnacentral:tRNA from 1 species
GCCCUCGGUGGCUCAGAUGGACAGAGCGCCUGCCAUGUAAGCAGGAGAUCCCUGGUUCGAGUCCCGGUCAGGGCA